rnacentral:hammerhead_ribozyme from 1 species
GCACUGCUGAAGAGUCCCGAAAUAGGACGAAACGGCCGUCCAGUGU